AUGACAACAAUAUUGAAUUCAUUAGUAAUUUGGUAAUUUAAAGUGUGAAUGUUGCUUUUUGUUUGUUAAAAUUCUUUCUUUUGGAACAACAAAUAUCGAAUUCUAGACUUUUUUCGUCAUGGAAUGAAAUUCCUUAGUACCUAACAAUUAUUAUUUGAAGGUAUUUGAAGAGAAAGCUUAUUUGGUAGGGUAGAAAGGAAGGGAGAUAAUGAGGAUGUGUUUGGGAUAGAAGAAUCCCUGAGGGAAUUAGAACAGCUAGCUGACACUGCUGGCUUAAUGGUUGUUGUCUCUACCUACCAGAAGAUGAGUGGCGAAGAGGCCUCAAGUGUUUAGGAGCUGACACACGCCCAAAAUUAAAAAAAAAAACCAGUUAAAGGACUGGAUAAAGAGGUGCCAGCAUGCUUUGAAGACUUCUAUUCCUACGCCUUUCAAUACUGAUUAAAAGGUAAAAAGAAAUAGAACAAGAGCAAGGAAGAAGAGGAGGAAAAGCCAACGUUGGAACCAACGUUGGCCCAUCAACGUUGGAACCAACGUUGGCCCAUCAACGUUGGAACCAACGUUGGCCCAUCAACGUUGCAGGCAACGCUCUGGAAGAGGAAAACAUGGGUGCCAACAUUGGAGGGAACAUUGGUGUAUCAAUGUUACCUCCAACGUCCUAAAAAAUGUUCAAUUAUGGAGCUAAAAGAUUUUUGGGCGACGCGUACGCGUCAAUGACGCAUACGCGUGAAAAAGGCAAAAUUUUCAAUCCACGCACAAGCGUGAGCUACGCGCACGUGUGAAAUGGUGAAAUUUACCAUCCACGAGCAUGCGUGGGUCACGCGUACGUGUGACCAAGCCAACGUUGGAUGGAACAUUGUUGACCAAACGCUGCCUUCAACGUCCACAAUGAGAAGCCCAUAAUUUGGAAUUGAGAAACAUGAAUCGACGCGCACGCGUCUAUGACACGUACGCGUGGAAUGGAAAAUGGAAAUGCACGCAUAAGUGUGGUGUGUGCGCACGCGUGGAAGGGCAAAAACACAGCCUUCACACGUACGCGUGGUGUACGCGUACGCAUGGAUGAGCGAACGUUGAUGCACCAACGUUGAGCCAAAUGCUGCUAGUAGAAACAAGAACUCAUUUUUUUUGCAACGUUUGGACCCAACGUUUGCACACAAACGUUGCGACCAAUGUUAAUGCCAAUUUAAGCUACAAAAUGGCACCAUGUAAGUUCAUAAACGUUUAGCUUCAACGUCUGUUAGAGCCAUUCCUCUCUGCUUCAAUCAAAGGCCAAGGCCCACAUCCAAGUACACUGAGUGUAGACCCAUUUUGGGAUAAAAGGAAGAGUAUAAAUAGAAGACUCUGAGAAGGCUUAGAGGUGUUUUGGGGGGGGGGGGCUCAGAAGGCCAAGAAGGCAACAGUAGAAGUAGGAGUAGCUGUAGGAUAGAACUCUCUGGUAGAGAGCUUAGCGUAGAAUUUCUUUUCCUUUCUGCACUUUUAAAUUUCAGUUGUAAUUGAAUUCAGUUUGGUUUAUGUAAU